rnacentral:rRNA from 1 species
UGGGGAAUUUUGGACAAUGGGCGAAAGCCUGAUCCAGCAAUGCCGCGUGUGUGAAGAAGGCCUUCGGGUUGUAAAGCACUUUUGUCCGGAAAGAAAUCCUUGGCUCUAAUACAGUCGGGGGAUGACGGUACCGGAAGAAUAAGCACCGGCUAACUACGUGCCAGCAGCCGCGGUAAUACGUAGGGUGCAAGCGUUAAUCGGAAUUACUGGGCGUAAAGCGUGCGCAGGCGGUUUGCUAAGACCGAUGUGAAAUCCCCGGGCUCAACCUGGGAACUGCAUUGGUGACUGGCAGGCUAGAGUAUGGCAGAGGGGGGUAGAAUUCCACGUGUAGCAGUGAAAUGCGUAGAGAUGUGGAGGAAUACCGAUGGCGAAGGCAGCCCCCUGGGCCAAUACUGACGCUCAUGCACGAAAGCGUGGGGAGCAAACAGGAUUAGAUACCCUGGUAGUCCACGCCCUAAACGAUGUCAACUAGUUGUUGGGGAUUCAUUCCUUAGUAACGUAGCUAACGCGUGAAGUUGACCGCCUGGGGAGUACGGUCGCAAGAUUAAAACUUAAA